AGUGGAUGGGGAGCAACCUAGUUGUGCGUGUGUAAAGGUAGUGCCAAGAAAAGCGAUGAUCAUGUUGAAAAUCAAUUCCCGGUACCCGAAACCGACACAGGUGGGCAAGUAGAGAAUACUAAGGGGCGCGAGGUAACUCUCUCCAAGGAACUCGGCAAAAUGACCCCGUAACUUAGGGAGAAGGGGUGCCACCGAGAGGUGGUCGCAGUGAAGAGGCCCAGGCGACUGUUUAGCAAAAACAUAGGUCUCUGCAAACUCGAAAGAGGAGGUAUAGGGGCUGACGCCUGCCCAGUGCCGGAAGGUUAAAGAAGUUGGUCAGUUUUAGGAUGAAGCUAGCGACUGAAGCCCCGGUGAACGGCGGCCGUAACUAUAACGGUCCUAAGGUAGCGAAAUUCCUUGUCGGGUAAGUUCCGACCCGCACGAAAGGCGUAACGAUCUGGGCGCUGUCUCGGAGAGAGGCUCGGCGAAAUAGGAUUGUCUGUGAAGAUACGGACUACCUGCAUUUGGACAGAAAGACCCUAUGAAGCUUUACUAUAGCUUGGAAUUGUGUUCGGGCUUCCUGUGCGCAGGAUAGGUGGGAGGCGUAGAAGGUAUUCUUGUGGGGAUACUGGAGCCAACGGUGAGAUACCACUCUCAGGAGGCUAGAAUUCUAACUUAAUUAAGGACAGUUUCAGGUGGGUAGUUUGACUGGGGCGGUCGCCUCCAAGAAGGUAACGGAGGCGUACAAAGGUUCCCUCAGACUGGUUGGAAAUCAGUCGAAGAGUGCAAAGGCAGAAGGGAGCUUGACUGCGAGAAGUACAGUUCGAGCAGGGUGGAAACACGGUCUUAGUGAUCCGACGGUGCUGUGUGGAAGGGCCGUCGCUCAACGGAUAAAAGUUACUCUAGGAUAACAGGCUGAUCUCCCCCAAGAGUUCACAUCGACGGGGAGGUUUGGCACCUCGAUGUCGGCUCAUCGCAACCUGGGGCGGAAGUACGUCCCAAGGGUUGGGCUGUUCGCCCAUUAAAGCGGUACGUGAGCUGGGUUCAGAACGUCGUGAGACAGUUCGGUCCAUAUCCGAUGUAGGCGUGAGAAUAUUGAGAGGAGCCUUCCUUAGUACAAGAGGGCCGGGAAGGACGCACCGCUGGUGUACCUGUUAUGAUGCCAAUUGUAAACGCAGGGUAGCCAAGUGCGGAGAGGAUAACCGCUGAAAGCAUCUAAGUGGGAAGCCCACCUCAAGAUGAGUAUUCUGGUGUAAGGUCACGGGAAGACGACCCGUAAAUAGGCACGAGGUGGAAGUGCAGAGAUGUAUGAAGCCGAAGUGUACUAAUAGACCGUCGGCUUGACC
rnacentral:rRNA from 1 species